ACUAUCUAGCAACAAGCAUCCUGGUUCUUACAGGCUUUUCUUCCCCCUCCAUGAUUUUUCCUGAGCCUUAGGGGUAAGGAUGUGCUGCAGCUGUAUCAACAUAAGAAUCUUAACAAGAGAUUUUCUGUAACAUUUAUAUAAGGAAAAUUAUAAGAUUUAUGAAAGAAAUCAGAAAACUUACCAAAUAUACAGAUAUAGAAAAACUUGGCACUGUCUUGAUUUGGUUGCAUUCAAAAUGGUUAAUAGAGUCAGUACAGUCACUAAUAAAUAGUCUACUUGUCAUUUUGCAACAAUUGGUGAGCUGACUCCAAAGUUUAUAGGAAGAGGCAAAAGAGCCACAGUAAGCAAACGACAUUGAACAAAGUCAGAAAACUGAAACCACUCUAAGAUUUACUAGAAGCAAGAGUGGCUGGGACUAUGAGGCACUAACCAGAGAAUUUGCAGGAACAGGACAGAGGCCUGGAAAUACACCCGAGUGAAUACAGUCAAGAAUCUUUGGAAAAAGACUAAGAACAACACAAAGAGAAAAAGCAACUAAGAAGUCACCUAAGAAGAAGCCGAACCUCAUCAAGUCACAGACGUAACCCUGCUGUUUACAAUGCUCCCUACCAAUUGGCUUAGACUAUCGUACAUCAAGUGGAAUGCACUGAAUAAAACUGAGCUCUAAGAAGAAAAGAAAUUAAUGGAGCAUCAAGAAAAGCACACACAAGAUCAUCCGACAAAGAAACCAGCAGUAUGAACCAAAGUAACCUGAAGUCGAAUUGCAUUACCUCCAGGCAAACAUUGCAGCUGGAAAAACGUAAGAAUGUGGGUCUCAGACUAAUCCACCUGGAAUCCUGUGAAAGAGAGUCAAGGUUAUCGCGGCUUCCCUGAGCAAACCCUGAAGCCCACGCAUAGUGACACUUUAACAGGGCAUCACCAGAGCCGUGCUGAUUGCUUCAGUGUACUUACCACUGGCCAGGGAACUUUGAACCAGCCAUCUUUGUUUGGAGAACUUGUAAGAUGUUAUAUCUCUUUAAGUUAAACAAACCCUUGCACGUACACGUCUGCUGUGUAACGGACGCUGUGUUCUAAAAUGGAAGUCUUCACGAGCGAGGGGCUGAACGGAAGAAUUGCACACCACAGCUAAAGACCCCCAAGUUGCAAAGAUUCUGAAUCUCCCAUCUUCUCUGUCAUCUACAUUUCAUACAAAAGGCAUGUGUACCUUUCUGUUUUAGUCAAGAGGAUGCUCCUAUAUGAUCUUGAGUUACAACUUUUUUAAAUUAUUGCGAAUAUGUAAAAUUAAAUAUCACAAACUUCUGUUUCUUUAUUUGACAAGACCCUUAUUGAAAUACAGCAGAUAUGUUCCUAAACUAUUGUCUAAUAGCGUAAUUUUGUUUUCUACUGAAUUAAAUUAACAUACCAUAGGUUUAUUUUAUUUUUAAAACUAUAACUUGUUUGUUUGAGACAGGUCUUCAUGGCUAGGAAACCCUGCCUGGCCUUUAACUCCCUAUACAGCCUUUCAAACUCUCUGGAAUCCUCCUACCUCUGCCUCCUGAGUGCCAAGAUUAAAGGUGUGUCCCAUCAUGUGCAGCAAAAAUACAGCUUCUUUAUGAGUUAAGGUGACACAAAUCUAUUGUAGAGAAAGCUUAAAUCACUUAAAUGAAUAAAUUAAAUUGGUUAUUCAUAAA